rnacentral:rRNA from 1 species
UGGGGAAUAUUGGGCAAUGGACGCAAGUCUGACCCAGCAACGCCGCGUGAAGGAAGAAGGCUUUCGGGUUGUAAACUUCUUUUAAGGGGGAAGAGGAGAAGACGGUACCCCUUGAAUAAGCCACGGCUAACUACGUGCCAGCAGCCGCGGUAAUACGGAGGGUGCAAGCGUUAAUCGGAAUAACUGGGCGUAAAGGGCAUGCAGGCGGUUCAUCAAGUAGGAUGUGAAAUCCCCGGGCUCAACCUGGGAACAGCAUACUAAACUGGUGGACUAGAGUAUUGCAGGGGGAGACGGAAUUCCAGGUGUAGCGGUGGAAUGCGUAGAUAUCUGGAAGAACACCAAAGGCGAAGGCAGUCUCCUGGGCAAAUACUGACGCUCA